UGCAAGUCGAGCGGGGAAGGUAGCUUGCUACUGGACCUAGCGGCGGACGGGUGAGUAAUGCUUAGGAAUCUGCCUAUUAGUGGGGGACAACAUUCCGAAAGGAAUGCUAAUACCGCAUACGCCCUACGGGGGAAAGCAGGGGAUCUUCGGACCUUGCGCUAAUAGAUGAGCCUAAGUCGGAUUAGCUAGUUGGUGGGGUAAAGGCCUACCAAGGCGACGAUCUGUAGCGGGUCUGAGAGGAUGAUCCGCCACACUGGGACUGAGACACGGCCCAGACUCCUACGGGAGGCAGCAGUGGGGAAUAUUGGACAAUGGGCGGAAGCCUGAUCCAGCCAUGCCGCGUGUGUGAAGAAGGCCUUUUGGUUGUAAAGCACUUUAAGCGAGGAGGAGGCUCCUUUAGUUAAUACCUAAAGUGAGUGGACGUUACUCGCAGAAUAAGCACCGGCUAACUCUGUGCCAGCAGCCGCGGUAAUACAGAGGGUGCGAGCGUUAAUCGGAUUUACUGGGCGUAAAGCGUGCGUAGGCGGCUUUUUAAGUCGGAUGUGAAAUCCCUGAGCUUAACUUAGGAAUUGCAUUCGAUACUGGAAAGCUAGAGUAUGGGAGAGGAUGGUAGAAUUCCAGGUGUAGCGGUGAAAUGCGUAGAGAUCUGGAGGAAUACCGAUGGCGAAGGCAGCCAUCUGGCCUAAUACUGACGCUGAGGUACGAAAGCAUGGGGAGCAAACAGGAUUAGAUACCCUGUAGUCCAUGCCGCAAACGAUGUCUACUAGCCGUUGGGGCCUUUGAGCUUUAGUGCGCAGCUACGCGAUAAGUAGACCGCCUGGGGAGUACGGUCGCAGACUA
rnacentral:rRNA from 1 species